UGCCCCAUCGUCUAACGGUAGGACACCGGUUUCUGGUACCGUCAGUUGGGGUUCGAAUCCCUGUGGGGCAGCCA
rnacentral:tRNA from 1 species